ACGUAGGGUCCAAGCGUUAAUCGGAAUUACUGGGCGUAAAGCGUGCGCAGGCGGUUUUGCAAGAGCGGUGUGAAAUCCCCGGGCUUAACCUUGGAAAUGCAUUGGUAACUGGAAGGCUAGAGUGUGGGAGAGGAAGGUAGAAUUCCAAGUGUAGCGGUGAAAUGCGUAGAGAUUAGGAGGAAUACCGGUGGCGAAGGCGACUUUCUGGGCUAACACUGACGCUGAUGCACGAAAGCGUGGGGAGCAAACAG
rnacentral:rRNA from 1 species